rnacentral:rRNA from 1 species
AUGCCUGCAAACGAAACCGGUCAAAUCGUGUCUCUAGCCGGAUCCAGCGUGGAGGGAUCCCAAAUCGAGCGAAUCGGGGCACGGAACUCGCAGUGCAACCACGGGGACCGGCAGAUCGAGCCAAGGCGCGACCGCGAGCCCGACGGGAGCGGGGAGAGGGAACCCCUCGGGCAUCUGAUGAAAUCUCAGCUUUUCGUAAGAGGUGCCGCUCGAUCGCGGGAGGAGGGGGAGGAGGAGGGAGGAGAGGCGAUCGUACAUGAGAAGACGAGGGCGGCGGCGGCGCCGAGGAAGCCGAAGAAGGGCGCCGUCUCAUCGCCGCUGAACACCGACGACAUCUUGCUCUCCUUCUUUCUCCGGUCGCGCUUCUUUCCUGUGGAGCUCUGGGUGGCCUCGUCGCUAAGGAAGAUGGUUGGUAGGGAGAGGAACAGAUGGUCUCUCCAGUUUGCUUUUAUUUUCUCCUCUCCUCUCCUCGCCCUGACCCGAUCUGAUCUUGAUAAAUAA